CUCAUCGUAGAAUGAAGAUUAAAGUAUAAGCUUAUAUAAAAUAAGAUUUUAUUCUCAGAACAUUUUCUUGAGUCAAAUACUUGAGGAAAAGUGUUUGGAAAAGGAUUUAAGCAAUGUUUCAGAGGUGGUUAAGGAGGCCUCUGUGAAAUAACUUUGCAUGUAUUCCUGCCCAUGGUCUUUGAGCUUUAUUGAUCAACUCAUUUUAAUAAGACUUUUUGUAUAUGAUCUUAUAUGUAUAUGAUACAAUAUACAUGAAAGAGAAAUUAUAAAAGACUAAGAUAAAAGCAAAAUAAUCAUUAACAGCACCAAAAUAUUUUCCUCACUAAAAUUGGUAUCAGCAAUAGUAUUUGAGUUUCUUAGCUUUUCAACAACAUACUGAUAGUAUUGCUUCCCACAUUAUUAGCUAACUUCCCAGGUGGUUGCAUAUUCUUAGCACAAAGUUGGAUUUAACAAAAGUAACCACGGACACUGCAUUUAAAAAUAUGCUCCUCAAUAAUCCUAACCAUUUCUGCACUGAGUUUUUAAAAAUGUCCUUGUUUUUACUGUAGAACUGAGGAAGGUGAAGCCACAGCUCUGCCAGCCUCUGACUGCUUUUUCUGGUCUGUCCGUGGAACAGGCAGCGGGCACAGUGACUUUUCUCAAUACAGUGAAAGCAAGCAGAAGGAAGCGAUGCGCCUGCAGCCUCUCUGGGGACUGCGACCUCAGGCUGCAUUUACAGCACCUGAUGGUCCAACAUCUAGAGUAGCUCACGGAGAAGGACACAGUUCCUUAACACAAGGUAAUCCUGCUGGAGCACCGACCAGAUCAUAG
rnacentral:lncRNA from 1 species